CAGGAACUCCCAGUAAGCGCGAGUCAUUAGCUCGCGUUGAUUACGUCCCUGCCCUUUGUACACACCGCCCGUCGCUACUACCGAUUGAAUGGUUUAGUGAGGUCCUCCGAUUGGACCCGGUCCGGGCGGCGACGUCCGAGCCGGCGUCCGAGAAGACGAUCUAACUUGAUCAUUUAGAGGAAGUAAAAGUCGUAACAAGGUUUCCGUAGGUGAACCUGCGGAAGGAUCAUUA
rnacentral:ncRNA from 1 species